rnacentral:rRNA from 1 species
GAUUAAGUUAUUAAGGGCGCACGGUGGAUGCCUUGGCACUAGAAGCCGAUGAAGGACGUUACUAACGACGAUAUGCUUUGGGGAGCUGUAAGUAAGCUUUGAUCCAGAGAUUUCCGAAUGGGGAAACCCAGCAUGAGUUAUGUCAUGUUAUCGAUAUGUGAAUACAUAGCAUAUCAGAAGGCACACCCGGAGAACUGAAACAUCUUAGUACCCGGAGGAAGAGAAAGAAAAUUCGAUUCCCUUAGUAGCGGCGAGCGAAACGGGAAGAGCCCAAACCAACAAGCUUGCUUGUUGGGGUUGUAGGACACUCUAUACGGAGUUACAAAGGACGACAUUAGACGAAUCAUCUGGAAAGAUGAAUCAAAGAAGGUAAUAAUCCUGUAGUCGAAAAUGUUGUCUCUCUUGAGUGGAUCCUGAGUACGACGGAGCACGUGAAAUUCCGUCGGAAUCUGGGAGGACCAUCUCCUAAGGCUAAAUACUCUCUAGUGACCGAUAGUGAACCAGUACCGUGAGGGAAAGGUGAAAAGCACCCCGGAAGGGGAGUGAAAUAGAACCUGAAACCGUGUGCUUACAAGUAGUCAGAGCCCGUUAAUGGGUGAUGGCGUGCCUUUUGUAGAAUGAACCGGCGAGUUACGAUUUGAUGCAAGGUUAAGCAGUAAAUGUGGAGCCGUAGCGAAAGCGAGUCUGAAUAGGGCGUUUAGUAUUUGGUCGUAGACCCGAAACCAGGUGAUCUACCCUUGGUCAGGUUGAAGUUCAGGUAACACUGAAUGGAGGACCGAACCGACUUACGUUGAAAAGUGAGCGGAUGAACUGAGGGUAGCGGAGAAAUUCCAAUCGAACCUGGAGAUAGCUGGUUCUCUCCGAAAUAGCUUUAGGGCUAGCCUCAAGUGAUGAUUAUUGGAGGUAGAGCACUGUUUGGACGAGGGGCCCCUCUCGGGUUACCGAAUUCAGACAAACUCCGAAUGCCAAUUAAUUUAACUUGGGAGUCAGAACAUGGGUGAUAAGGUCCGUGUUCGAAAGGGAAACAGCCCAGACCACCAGCUAAGGUCCCAAAAUAUAUGUUAAGUGGAAAAGGAUGUGGCGUUGCCCAGACAACUAGGAUGUUGGCUUAGAAGCAGCCAUCAUUUUAAAGAGUGCGUAAUAGCUCACUAGUCGAGUGACACUGCGCCGAAAAUGUACCGGGGCUAAACAUGUUACCGAAGCUGUGGAUUGUCCUUUGGACAAUGGUAGGAGAGCGUUCUAAGGGCGUUGAAGCAUGAUCGUAAGGACAUGUGGAGCGCUUAGAAGUGAGAAUGCCGGUGUGAGUAGCGAAAGACGGGUGAGAAUCCCGUCCACCGAUUGACUAAGGUUUCCAGAGGAAGGCUCGUCCGCUCUGGGUUAGUCGGGUCCUAAGCUGAGGCCGACAGGCGUAGGCGAUGGAUAACAGGUUGAUAUUCCUGUACCACCUAUAAUCGUUUUAAUCGAUGGGGGGACGCAGUAGGAUAGGCGAAGCGUGCGAUUGGAUUGCACGUCUAAGCAGUAAGGCUGGGUAUUAGGCAAAUCCGGUACUCGUUAAGGCUGAGCUGUGAUGGGGAGAAGACAUUGUGUCUUCGAGUCGUUGAUUUCACACUGCCGAGAAAAGCCUCUAGAUAGAAAAUAGGUGCCCGUACCGCAAACCGACACAGGUAGUCAAGAUGAGAAUUCUAAGGUGAGCGAGCGAACUCUCGUUAAGGAACUCGGCAAAAUGACCCCGUAACUUCGGGAGAAGGGGUGCUCUUUAGGGUUAACGCCCAGAAGAGCCGCAGUGAAUAGGCCCAAGCGACUGUUUAUCAAAAACACAGGUCUCUGCUAAACCGUAAGGUGAUGUAUAGGGGCUGACGCCUGCCCGGUGCUGGAAGGUUAAGAGGAGUGGUUAGCUUCUGCGAAGCUACGAAUCGAAGCCCCAGUAAACGGCGGCCGUAACUAUAACGGUCCUAAGGUAGCGAAAUUCCUUGUCGGGUAAGUUCCGACCCGCACGAAAGGCGUAACGAUUUGGGCACUGUCUCAACGAGAGACUCGGUGAAAUCAUAGUACCUGUGAAGAUGCAGGUUACCCGCGACAGGACGGAAAGACCCCGUGGAGCUUUACUGUAGCCUGAUAUUGAAAUUCGGCACAGCUUGUACAGGAUAGGUAGGAGCCUUUGAAACGUGAGCGCUAGCUUACGUGGAGGCGCUGGUGGGAUACUACCCUAGCUGUGUUGGCUUUCUAACCCGCACCACUUAUCGUGGUGGGAGACAGUGUCAGGCGGGCAGUUUGACUGGGGCGGUCGCCUCCUAAAAGGUAACGGAGGCGCUCAAAGGUUCCCUCAGAAUGGUUGGAAAUCAUUCAUAGAGUGUAAAGGCAUAAGGGAGCUUGACUGCGAGACCUACAAGUCGAGCAGGGUCGAAAGACGGACUUAGUGAUCCGGUGGUUCCGCAUGGAAGGGCCAUCGCUCAACGGAUAAAAGCUACCCCGGGGAUAACAGGCUUAUCUCCCCCAAGAGUUCACAUCGACGGGGAGGUUUGGCACCUCGAUGUCGGCUCAUCGCAUCCUGGGGCUGUAGUCGGUCCCAAGGGUUGGGCUGUUCGCCCAUUAAAGCGGUACGCGAGCUGGGUUCAGAACGUCGUGAGACAGUUCGGUCCCUAUCCGUCGUGGGCGUAGGAAAUUUGAGAGGAGCUGUCCUUAGUACGAGAGGACCGGGAUGGACAUACCUCUGGUGUACCAGUUGUCGUGCCAACGGCAUAGCUGGGUAGCUAUGUGUGGACGGGAUAAGUGCUGAAAGCAUCUAAGCAUGAAGCCCCCCUCAAGAUGAGAUUUCCCAACUUCGGUUAUAAGAUCCCUCAAAGAUGAUGAGGUUAAUAGGUUCGAGGUGGAAGCAUGGUGACAUGUGGAGCUGACGAAUACUAAUCGAUCGAAGACUUAAUCAA